rnacentral:rRNA from 1 species
AUUGAACGCUGGCGGCAGGCUUAACACAUGCAAGUCGAGCGGAGAGAAGUAGCUUGCUACUGAUCUUAGCGGCGGACGGGUGAGUAAUGCUUAGGAAUCUGCCUAUUAGUGGGGGACAACAUUUCGAAAGGAAUGCUAAUACCGCAUACGUCCUACGGGAGAAGGCAGGGGAUCUUCGGACCUUGCGCUAAUAGAUGAGCCUAAGUCGGAUUAGCUAGUUGGUGGGGUAAAGGCCUACCAAGGCGACGAUCUGUAGCGGGUCUGAGAGGAUGAUCCGCCACACUGGGACUGAGACACGGCCCAGACUCCUACGGGAGGCAGCAGUGGGGAAUAUUGGACAAUGGGCGGAAGCCUGAUCCAGCCAUGCCGCGUGUGUGAAGAAGGCCUUAUGGUUGUAAAGCACUUUAAGCGAGGAGGAGGCUACUUUAGUUAAUACCUAGAGAUAGUGGACGUUACUCGCAGAAUAAGCACCGGCUAACUCUGUGCCAGCAGCCGCCGUAAUAC